CCUACGGGGGGCUGCAGUGGGGAAUAUUGGACAAUGGGGGCAACCCUGAUCCAGCCAUGCCGCGUGUGUGAAGAAGGCCCUCGGGUUGUAAAGCACUUUCAGUGAGGAAGAACGCCUGGUGGUUAAUACCCAUCAGGAAAGACAUCACUCACAGAAGAAGCACCGGCUAACUCCGUGCCAGCAGCCGCGGUAAUACGGAGGGUGCGAGCGUUAAUCGGAAUUACUGGGCGUAAAGCGCGCGUAGGUGGCUUGAUAAGCCGGUUGUGAAAGCCCCGGGCUCAACCUGGGAACGACAUCCGGAACUGUCAAGCUAGAGUGCAGGAGAGGAAGGUAGAAUUCCCGGUGUAGCGGUGCAAUGCGUAGAGAUCGGGAGGAAUACCAGUGGCGAAGGCGGCCUUCUGGACUGAAACUGACACUGAGGUGCGAAAGCGUGGGUAGCAAACAGGAUUAGAUACCCUGGUAGUC
rnacentral:rRNA from 1 species